GAAGCUGCUAUAAAACCUGAGAACAAGCCGAAGGAACGCUUCCUUGCUCUUAUAUGCAUAUGAUGAUUCGAGGGUUGUGCUGGCGGAUGGAGAAGAUUACAUUAAUGCCAAUUAUAUCAUGGGAUAAGAUGACAUCAAAGUACAUAGCAACACAAGG